UACAGAGGGUGCUAGCGUUGUUCGGAAUUACUGGGCGUAAAGGGCGCGUAGGCGGCCUGCUAAGUCGGACGUGAAAUCCCUCGGCUCAACCGGGGAACUGCGUCCGAUACUGGCGGGCUUGAAUCCGGGAGAGGAAUGCGGAAUUCCAGGUGUAGCGGUGAAAUGCGUAGAUAUCUGGAGGAACACCGGUGGCGAAGGCGGCAUUCUGGACCGGCAUUGACGCUGAUGCGCGAAAGCCAGGGGAGCAAACGGG
rnacentral:rRNA from 1 species